CUGGACAAGAUGGCCCUUCUGAGUCAGUCUGGACUUCAGACUGAGGCGCACUCCCAGAAUCCUUUUGUUUCUUCUUCUUGCCAAAUUCCUUCCUAGAACGUCCAACUCACUGUUGAAUAGAAGUAUCUAUUGAAGGUAGUAUUCUCAUCUUCCUAUUCAUCUGUGGGCUUUCGUGGAUGCCCUCUAUCGGCAGGAGAUGUCUCUAGUUUGUGAGAAGUUGACAAAGACCAGCAACGUGGACCACGCCUAGCGGGACACACCUUUAAAGCCAGCAGAGGCAGGAGGAUCUGUGUUAUUUCGAGGGCCAUCUGGUCUACAUAACAGUAUCUGUUAUGUUGCUCUAGCUGUCCUGGAACUCCAUAUACAGACCAGGCUGGCCCUAAAGUACCAGAAAUCCUCCAUCCUCCUGCCUCUGCUUCCUGAGUGCUGGGACCAAGUGUGAGCUGCUACAGUACCCAGCUUUAAUA
rnacentral:lncRNA from 1 species